GGGGAUAUGGCUCAGUUGGUAGAGUGCUUGCUUCACAUGCACAAGGCCCUGGGUUUGAUUCCCAGUACCACAA
rnacentral:tRNA from 1 species